rnacentral:rRNA from 1 species
CCGCGGUAAUACGUAGGGUGCGAGCGUUAAUCGGAAUUACUGGGCGUAAAGCGUGCGCAGGCGGAUAUUUAAGUUAGAAGUGAAAUCCCCGGGCUCAACCUGGGAACUGCUUUUAAGACUGGGUAUCUAGAGUUUGUCAGAGGGGGGUGGAAUUUCAAGUGUAGCAGUGAAAUGCGUAGAGAUUUGAAGGAACACCGAUGGCGAAGGCAGCCCCCUGGGAUAGAACUGACGCUCAUGUACGAAAGCGUGGGUAGCAAACAGGAUUAGAUACCCUGGUAGUCCACGCCCUAAACGAUGUCUACUUGCUGUUGGGGGUAACCUUAGUAGCGAAGCUAACGCGAGAAGUAGACCGCCUGGGGAGUACGGUCGCAAGAUUAAAACUCAAAGGAAUUGACGG